rnacentral:rRNA from 1 species
CUACGGGUGGCACCAGUGGGGAAUAUUGCACAAUGGGCGCAAGCCUGAUGCAGCCAUACCGCGUGUAUGAAGAAGGCCUUCGGGUUGUAAAGUACUUUCAGCGGGGAGGAAGGGAGUAAAGUUAAUACCUUUGCUCAUUGACGUUACCCGCAGAAGAAGCACCGGCUAACUCCGUGCCAGCAGCCGCGGUAAUACGGAGGGUGCAAGCGUUAAUCGGAAUUACUGGGCGUAAAGCGCACGCAGGCGGUUUGUUAAGUCAGAUGUGAAAUCCCCGGGCUCAACCUGGGAACUGCAUCUGAUACUGGCAAGCUGGAGUCUCGUAGAGGGGGGUAGAAUUCCAGGUGUAGCGGUGAAAUGCGUAGAGAUCUGGAGGAAUACCGGUGGCGAAGGCGGCCCCCUGGACGAAGACUGACGCUCAGGUGCGAAAGCGUGGGGAGCAAACAGGAUUAGAUACCCGCGUAGUC